rnacentral:lncRNA from 1 species
AAUAUUAGGGUGCAUCAUCUGAUUAUACACUAUACUCCCUAUUCCCUCUCUCUUCUCUACUUUCUUCUGCACACAUUUCUGCACCCCCUCUAACCCAAAAACUUGUUCAUAAAACCCCCAAACCUCAGUCUUUAUUACCAUCACCUAUCUCUACACCUUUAUCCAUCUCUUCCUCUCUUUUCUCCUUCUUCUUCCUAGUUCCUACUACCGUGCCACCAUAUUCUUUGUCAGAGAUCUUGUUAAUGGAGUUGAAACUACUGCUUUAUAGAACCAUGAUUUAUUUUUAUGUUCAUCAUCGGCUGUAAUUUCUUUGAUUAAUUUUAGGUAACAAAUUUCUAUCUUAACUCUGACACAAUAGUAUUGGUAUAAGUGAGGGAACGACCGAUAAUU